AUGAAUGUAUGUUUUUAGCUGUGAGCCGCCCUGAGUCUUCGGAGAUGGGGCGGCAUACAAGUCCAAUAAAUAAAUAAUAAAUAAAUCUAGACCAACCCCCUGCUCAAGCAGGAGAUCCUAUACCAUUUCUGACAGAUGGCUGUCCAGUCUCUUCUUGAAAGCUCCCAUUCUGAUUCUUUGUUCUGUGCAAUGCAGAGGCCAUUCUGAUGGUUAACAAAUUUAUCAUAAGUAAGCUAUAUAGCAGCUAUCUUGAUUUUAGCAUUUUGGUGAAUCAGAUUAUUGUUUAUUACUUCAUCUACAACUUGGUUUGCUUUCACGCUCUUCAUUUUAAUCUCUUCCAAAUCAACCCCCUUGAGGAAGGCCGGGGUGAAAGAAAGCCGCCAGCCCCCAAGCCACCCUUCCCACAAUCCACCUAACCAGUUUACCCAAUUCACUCCCCCCACCCCCUCCCUGGGCUUCUAUAAUAAUACCCAGAAUCAUGGGAUGUUCAAGCGGGCUGAGCUUAUCGGAUGGUGCGAAGGCUAGGCGCAAAGUUUCGAACUGAAUCGCACCUACCCGCCUGCAGCUGAUCAAGGGGGGGGGGGAGGAAACUUCACAGUUUGCAAUCCCUGCUAGUCCACCAGGCUUGAACUACAACUCCCAGAACCCCCUGGCCAAUCUGGGAAAAGCUGCGGUCGGCUGACGCGAUCGCAGCUGCGCGUCUCCAUCCCUCCCCCCACUGUUGCAAAGCGCAGCUGCUGGAGCGGCGGAAGGAAACGGGGUUAUCUGCCCGGGCAGCUGCCCUUUCACUGCCUUUUGCGACGCGGGCGCUCUCCGGUUCCUGCGGGAGUCCCGCCCGGCCGGACAUGGGCGAUGUGGCGCAUGCAAUCACUUCGUCGGCGGCUCUGGCUGCCUGGCUUGCAGCUCUGGGCGGCUGGGCCUCUCUCGGCUUCCUGCAGCUGCAAAGCCGGCUUCUCGGAGCUUCGCCGCCCUGCGCCGCCGAGGGAUCAACGCUGCCCCAUGGCCGGGUCUUCCCAGCACGCCUCUUUUAAUCACCUGGCAAACGGAGGAGAAAGGAAGACAGUUGAGACUAACAACAAUAUUGGGG
rnacentral:lncRNA from 1 species